rnacentral:rRNA from 1 species
GCUGAGGCGUGAUGACGAGGCACUACGGUGCCGAAGUAACAAAUGCCCUGCUUCCAGGAAAAGCCUCUAAGCAUCAGGUAACAUCAAAUCGUACCCCAAACCGACACAGGUGGUCAGGUAGAGAAUACCAAGGCGCUUGAGAGAACUCGGGUGAAGGAACUAGGCAAAAUGGUGCCGUAACUUCGGGAGAAGGCACGCUGAUAUGUAGGUGAAGCGACUUGCUCGUGGAGCUGAAAUCAGUCGAAGAUACCAGCUGGCGUGCAACUGUUUAUUAAAAACACAGCACUGUGCAAACACGAAAGUGGACGUAUACGGUGUGACGCCUGCCCGGUGCCGGAAGGUUAAUUGAUGGGGUUAGCGGCAACGCGAAGCUCUUGAUCGAAGCCCCGGUAAACGGCGGCCGUAACUAUAACGGUCCUAAGGUAGCGAAAUUCCUUGUCGGGUAAGUUCCGACCUGCACGAAUGGCGUAAUGAUGGCCAGGCUGUCUCCACCCGAGACUCAGUGAAAUUGAACUCGCUGUGAAGAUGCAGUGUACCCGCGGCAAGACGGAAAGACCCCGUGAACCUUUACUAUAGCUUGACACUGAACAUUGAGCCUUGAUGUGUAGGAUAGGUGGGAGGCUUUGAAGUGUGGACGCCAGUCUGCAUGGAGCCGACCUUGAAAUACCACCCUUUAAUGUUUGAUGUUCUAACGUUGGCCCGUAAUCCGGGUUGCGGACAGUGUCUGGUGGGUAGUUUGACUGGGGCGGUCUCCUCCUAAAGAGUAACGGAGGAGCACGAAGGUUGGCUAAUCCUGGUCGGACAUCAGGAGGUUAGUGCAAUGGCAUAAGCCAGCUUGACUGCGAGCGUGACGGCGCGAGCAGGUGCGAAAGCAGGUCAUAGUGAUCCGGUGGUUCUGAAUGGAAGGGCCAUCGCUCAACGGAUAAAAGGUACUCCGGGGAUAACAGGCUGAUACCGCCCAAGAGUUCAUAUCGACGGCGGUGUUUGGCACCUCGAUGUCGGCUCAUCACAUCCUGGGGCUGAAGUAGGUCCCAAGGGUAUGGCUGUUCGCCAUUUAAAGUGGUACGCGAGCUGGGUUUAGAACGUCGUGAGACAGUUCGGUCCCUAUCUGCCGUGGGCGCUGGAGAACUGAGGGGGGCUGCUCCUAGUACGAGAGGACCGGAGUGGACGCAUCACUGGUGUUCGGGUUGUCAUGCCAAUGGCACUGCCCGGUAGCUAAAUGCGGAAGAGAUAAGUGCUGAAAGCAUCUAAGCACGAAACUUGCCCCGAGAUGAGUUCUCCCUGACUCCUUGAGAGUCCUGAAGGAACGUUGAAGACGACGACGUUGAUAGGCCGGGUGUGUAAGCGCAGCGAUGCGUUGAGCUAACCGGUACUAAUGAACCGUGAGGCUUAACCUU